rnacentral:snRNA from 1 species
GCGUCCUGGUCGGAUGCGGA